UCAGCUGGAGGCCGUGCAGUGGGCAGCGGCUGCUGCUCACGGAGAAGCAAGAAGAGGAGUCGUGAGGAGCGGCGAGUCAAGAGUGAGCCUGAAGAGAGGAUGAGGAAGAUGGAAGAGAAAGCUCACGGAGAAGCAAGAAGAGGAGUCGUGAGGAGCGGCGGGUCAAGAGUGAGCCUGAAGAGAGGAUGAGGAAGAGAGAAGAGGAGGGAGGAGAAAGGCACUCUGGGCAAAGGGACCGCCCUGGCAGCAGGGCUGUGGUCACGUAAGAGCAUGGCUGGCACCUUUGGUGCCCUUGCUCCCUUUGCGCUGGGCGACCUCCCUGUAAGCAGGGCUCGGGUCUUUGCUGUUGUUGGCCUUUUGCCAUGUUGCUCCUUGGCUGCCUGGAGAGAGGGACGAGCCUGUAAGGAGGCUGCGAGUCCCUUUCUCCGCCCCUGGGGGGACAGGGAGCUCACCGGAACCCAGGCCCGCCCUGUAAGCAGGGCCGGGCUCUUUGCCCCCCGCGGCUUUCCGCCUGCCGGCCCCUGGCCGGCGCCACCCCCGCGCUCGGGGUGUGGGCCAGCAUUGGCCCUUUGGCACCCCGUGAAGC